rnacentral:rRNA from 1 species
UACGAAGGGGGCUAGCGUUGCUCGGAAUUACUGGGCGUAAAGGGAGCGUAGGUGGACAGUUUAGUCAGAGGUGAAAGCCCAGGGCUCAACCUUGGAAUUGCCUUUGAUACUGGCUGUCUUGAGUACGGAAGAGGUAUGUGGAACUCCGAGUGUAGAGGUGAAAUUCGUAGAUAUUCGGAAGAACACCAGUGGCGAAGGCGACAUACUGGUCCGUUACUGACACUGAGGCUCGAAAGCGUGGGGGAGCAAACAGG